GCAGAGCAUCCUACGGGAGGCAGCAGUGGGGAAUAUUGCACAAUGGGCGCAAGCCUGAUGCAGCCAUGCCGCGUGUAUGAAGAAGGCCUUCGGGUUGUAAAGUACUUUCAGCAGUGAGGAAGUGGGUAUGUUAAUAGCAUACUCAUUUGACGUUAGCUGCAGAAGAAGCACCGGCUAACUCCGUGCCAGCAGCCGCGGUAAUACGGAGGGUGCGAGCGUUAAUCGGAAUUACUGGGCGUAAAGCGCAUGCAGGUGGUUUGUUAAGUCAGAUGUGAAAGCCCGGGGCUCAACCUCGGAAUUGCAUUUGAAACUGGCAAACUAGAGUACUGUAGAGGGGGUAGAAUUUCAGGUGUAGCGGUGAAAUGCGUAGAGAUCUGAAGGAAUACCGGUGGCGAAGGCGGCCCCCUGGACAGAUACUGACACUCAGAUGCGAAAGCGUGGGGGAGCAAAACAGGAUUAGAUACCCCUGGUAG
rnacentral:rRNA from 1 species